GAGUUUGAUCGUGGCUCAGGAUGAACGCUGGCGGCGUGCUUAACACAUGCAAGUCGGACGGACUCAUAUUGAAACCUAGUGAUUUAUGAGUUAGUGGCGGACGGGUGAGUAACGCGUGGAAAACCUGCCGUAUACUGGGGGGAUAACACUUAGAAAUAGGUGCUAAUACCGCAUAAGCGCACAGCUUCGCAUGAAGUGGUGUGAAAAACUCUGGUGGUAUACGAUGGUUCCGCGUCUGAUUAGCUUGUUGGCGGGGUAAUGGCUCACCAAGGCGACGAUCAGUAGCCGGCCUGAGAGGGUGAACGGCCACAUUGGGACUGAGACACGGCCCAAACUCCUACGGGAGGCAGCAGUGGGGAAUAUUGCACAAUGGGGGAAACCCUGAUGCAGCGACGCCGCGUGAGUGAAGAAGUAUUUCGGUAUGUAAAGCUCUAUCAGCAGGGAAGAAAUAGCGACCUUUGGGUCACCAGACGGUACCUGAUUAAGAAGCCCCGG
rnacentral:rRNA from 1 species